CUGUCAGAUGCUAGUAGAAGCUCAACAUGUGCGUCUCAUCUUUUCUAUAUCACAGGCUGAUGUAAUCCACAGAAACGCCGUUGUUCAUGUUCUGAUUCCGGGUUGAGGUCCAGAGAACUGCAAGAAAGUAUUUAAGCUGGAAGAGCUCCUCUUUGUAUGUCUGAGGAGUUUACGUUCUUCUCUAUGGGGGUAAGUGCCACGUCUGAGCUGUGUACCCCAUGAUCCAGGCUUUACUCCCACUCAGCCCAGGCCUGCUCACCGUGGAAAGCCCACAGAGCUGCUCAGACUGAGUCAAUAGUGAGCAAGCGUGGUCUGUAAGUUUCAUCUAAUUAAAUCUACAUUUUCAUGUAUAAUUGUGUGCCUCUAUGAAGCCUCUGUAGGUUGAGUUAUUGAAGGGAAAUAUGGAUGUUUAUGCUGG